rnacentral:rRNA from 1 species
AGUGAACGCUGGCGGUAGGCCUAACACAUGCAAGUCGAACGGCAGCACAGUAAGAGCUUGCUCUUACGGGUGGCGAGUGGCGGACGGGUGAGGAAUACAUCGGAAUCUACUUUUUCGUGGGGGAUAACGUAGGGAAACUUACGCUAAUACCGCAUACGACCUACGGGUGAAAGCAGGGGAUCUUCGGACCUUGCGCGAAUGAAUGAGCCGAUGUCGGAUGAGCUGGUUGGCGGGGUAAAGGCCCACCAAGGCGACGAUCCGUAGCUGGUCUGAGAGGAUGAUCAGCCACACUGGAACUGAGACACGGUCCAGACUCCUACGGGAGGCAGCAGUGGGGAAUAUUGGACGAUGGGCGCAAGCCUGAUCCAGCCAUACCGCGUGGGUGAAGAAGGCCUUCGGGUUGUAAAGCCCUUUUGUUGGGAAAGAAAAGCAGCAGGUUAAUACCCCGCUGUUCUGACGGUACCCAAAGAAUAAGCACCGGCUAACUUCGUG